rnacentral:rRNA from 1 species
AGAAGUGCUUUUAUUAGAUCAAAACCAAUGUCGUCUUCGGGCGCACUCGUAUGUGGUGACUAUGAGGUGAAAGUAAGCUGAUUGCAUCACUCGAAAGGGCAGGCGACAUAUCUGUCGAAAGCAUCUUACCUAUCAGACUAUCGUUGGUAGUUCAUAUGACUACCAUGGUCGUAACGGGUAACGGGGAAUCAGGGUACGAGUUCCGGAGAGACAGCAUGAGAAACCGUCCUAGUUCUAACUAUAAACUAGGCCAACUGGGCAGCAGGCGCUUGCAAAUUAACCAAUCGCCAGGCACCCCGCGGGAGGUAGUGACCAAAAAUAACGAUGCCGUAAUCUUCGGAUUCGGCAAUAUGGAAUGAGAACAAUCGAAAUCCUUAAUCGAGGAAUCGACUGGAGGGGCACACUUCAGAAGUGCCAGCAGCCUGCGGCUCAAUUUGACUCAACGCACGAAAAGCGUACUCGGUCCGAACACCGUGAGGAUUGACAGGUUAAAAAGCUCGUACUUGAGUGUCAGAAGAUGAACUGGUGCGCUGCCAUGGCCAUUCGUAGUAUGGUGGAGCGAUUUGCUCCUGGUUUCACUUCCGAUAACGAACGACACUCCUAGCGUCUAUUAAUUAGUGAAGCGUGCAAGCCUUCAAAAAGAUUACUUUGAAUGGUAACGCCGCAUCAAACACUUCUUAGAGGGACAAGUGUCGUGAGGCAAAACUCGAAGUUGAGCAAUAAUCAGCGUGCUGUAACGCAAGCGCUCUUAGAUUGUAUACGGGGCUGCACGCGAACUACAAUGAAGGCAUGCAAGACUCUGCAUUCCUGUUAUCGAAAGGAUUUACGGGGAAGUCAAAAAUAGCCGAUUCUAUUUUUUCGAUUCGGGAUCGGAGAACGUAAUUAUUCUCACUCUGUGACACACAGAGAAUUCCUAGUAAACGCGAAUCAUUAUUUCGCGUUGACUAAGUCCCUGCCCUUUGUACACACCGCCCGUCGCUACUACCGAUCGAAUGGUUUAGUGAGGUUUUCGGAUGGGUUGCAUGGAGCCACAAGCUCCACUGUAUACUU